UUAGUGGCGGACGGGUGAGUAACGCGUGGAUAACCUGCCGUAUACAGGGGGAUAACACUUAGAAAUAGGUGCUAAUACCGCAUAAGCGCACGGUUCCGCAUGGAACAGUGUGAAAAACUCCGGUGGUAUACGAUGGAUCCGCGUCUGAUUAGCUGGUUGGAGGGGUAACGGCCCACCAAGGCGACGAUCAGUAGCCGGCCUGAGAGGGUGAACGGCCACAUUGGGACUGAGACACGGCCCAAACUCCUACGGGAGGCAGCAG
rnacentral:rRNA from 1 species